GUUUCUUUCAGUUGGGCGUUUAUAUCGGAUUUCUUGGAAUUCUUCAUUGAUUUAUUCAUGAGAGAAUCUAUUCUAUACAACUAAGUUUGUUAUAGUUCAACAAUUUUGGGUAUCGCAAGCAAGUCCAACACCUUUGACCAACUCUUGUUAUAUUUUCGUAAUUGCAAUCUAUAUGUAUCACCUAGCAUUAAAUUAUACUUUCUAUAAUUAAAAUAAAUAUGCUGAUGGAUUGGAUUGGCUGGUGGAGCAGUCGGUCAUAUAUAGGUGUAUUCUGAACUUGCCAUGGUUGUCGGGGUUCAGCUGUAUAUAUUUAUCAUCGUAAGGUUAAAUAACAAUUGUUAUAUGGCAUUCAAGUGCUGUAGCGAUCGUAUCAACCACAUGACCUGGAAUGGGAUAGGCUAGCUUAGUAGUUCUUUCUUAAUGGCUUUAUCCUGCGGGCUUAAGGACUUCCGCGAAUCCUGUGAGCGUGGCCUAGUGAUGAGGGUUGUUGUUGUUGUGGAAUCCGAUUAGAUGAUGUGGAUCACCAUUGUUGCGGGAUCCAAUGAUUCGCCGUUGUUGCGGGAAUCACCCGCAGAGAUAAUUGAUAGAUGGGAUUGAUGAAAAGCUUAUGACCUUAGCCUUGCCGGCAUACACCAUAAAGUGUGCUUCAAGCACCAACGGGCGUGGGCAUUAAAAGGUUUAAGGCGUCUGUGGGUACAGAGACACACCUCUGCAGAGUGUAUGAAGUGUGAUAUGUCACUCCCUGUUUUGGGUAGAAACCGCGAAUGCGGUAGGAAAGGAACCUAUCGGAGGUUCUAAUACCUUUGGUGCCUUAUAUGCAGUAGAUUUUAUAAUUACUUAAUAUGAGUUUUUACAACACUGUUUUAUGAACAUGCAUAAAAUUCCUUGUUGGAUUAUGGUGGCUUUGGACAUAUAUGUAUUAUGCAGGUGGAUUAUGGGCAUAUAUUUGUUGGAUUGCUAUAGUUGGACUUGUUGAGUACCAUUCGUACUCAUCCCCUAUAUAUUAUUCCUUGUAGUGUUGAGCUAACAAUUAGGUGACGAGAAGAUUCUGCAAAAAUUGAUCAAGUGUUGCAUAUCUCUACAUCAACUAAAUGAUGAAGGUGAUGAUGAUAUAGAAGAGCAAGGUCUUGGUAAGUUGAUUCUUACUAAGGAAUGAGCCGUAGACCGGUAUUCUACCUCGGAAGUGGAAUACGAGGGUCGCUACAGGCUGGCGGUGGCGGAGUCGGAGACGGCACGAGGACGGUGGAUCAAGUGCGCACUGCGGCGGCCACAGGCGACGCGCUGGUCGCGACACGGUCCUCGCUUUGAGCUGAGGACGCUGGGGAGGCCCUGUCAAUAAAAACACAAAGGGGUGCUGAUUGAACACAGAAUAAAAUCAGAAGUUAUAACUC
rnacentral:sRNA from 1 species